CUGGAGAGCUGGGCAGCUUGGCCCUUGCCCCCUGGGAAGCCUGUAUUGAAUAGGAUCGGCUUUACCCCCUUGGGUAAAUCCUUCUCCUAGCUUGCCAUGGCGUCUCCAGCCUUGGCCUAGACCUCCGUGGUCAGCAUCGCCUGCACUAACCUUUGCAUUUCUUCAGGAGCCCAGCUAGUUCCUGCCUCAGGACUUAUGCACUUGCCCUUUCCUUGGCCCAGAAAACUCUUCCUCCUACCUUUUUCAUCCUAAAGUUCUCAGCUGACUUGCCCCCUUACACGGUCCUCCCCUGCCUGGCUACACUAAUGUACUUCCUCCCCACCGUUAAUAUCGUAACACAUUUUUUUUAAUUUCCACACCAAACUCUGAAAUGAUCUGAUGUUUUAUUUUUCUGUCUGCACCACUUCCAUAAACCAUGAAGGCAGGCCCCUUGCCUGUCUGAGUUUUUUGCCUAGAACAGUCCCUGGCGUGAGGUGGUAGGCAAUCCUUUUUUUUUUUUACGUGAUAACCUUUUUGAGCCUUAACUUCCUUGUAACUGAGAAAUAACUGGAAUUAAUAAUACUUAACUAAAUUGUUAUACUAAAGGAGAUAAUAUAUGUAAAUGCCUGUAAUAGGCUCAUGAUAACCACAUAAUAAAGGUGGUAGUAAAAAAGGUAAUAAAAGUGCAGCCCCACCUGAUGUUAUUUCAGAUCUCCCUUCUCCCUACUCACUCCAUUUUUCUUCCCUUUUUUCUUGGUAGAUGUCUCUAAUCUUCACUGAGAUUUAAAAAAAAAAAAAAAAAAGGAAUCCAGCUCCAGCAAUCUCUAUCACUCUUCUCUGAGUAUUGCUGUGUACCAACCAUUUUGUGAACAUUCUCACGUACCCAAAGGACCAGGAUUCCUUUCUCCCUUCCCAAGACAUGCAUUGGGGCCUGCUGGCUGCCGACCAUGAUUGGAAGCUUCCUGAAGUCCUAUCCAGGAACAGAUGCUGGCAUCAUGCUUCCUGUAUAGCCUGCAGAACCGCUGCAUUGCCUUAGCAGGAUCACAGCUCACUGCAGCCACCUCAAACUCCUGGGCUCAAGCAAUUCUUCUACCUCAGCCUCCUGAGUAGCUGGAACUACAGGUAGGUGCCACCAUACCUGGUUUAUUUCUACUUUUUGUAUGUAUU
rnacentral:lncRNA from 1 species